GGAGAGGAAGGUGGGGAUGACGUCAAGUCCGCAUGGCCUUUAUGUCCMGGGCUACACACGUGUUACAAUGCAGGGCACAAACCGUUGCCAACCCGCGRGGGGGAGCUAAUCRGAAAAAACUCUGCUCAGUUCGGAUUGCAGUCUGCAACUCGACUGCAUGAAGCCGGAAUCGCUAGUAAUGGCGUAUCAGAUCGACGCCG
rnacentral:rRNA from 1 species